rnacentral:rRNA from 1 species
CGGCCGUAACUAUAACGGUCCUAAGGUAGCGAAAUUCCUUGUCGGGUAAGUUCCGACCUGCACGAAUGGCGUAAUGAUGGCCAGGCUGUCUCCACCCGAGACUCAGUGAAAUUGAACUCGCUGUGAAGAUGCAGUGUACCCGCGGCAAGACGGAAAGACCCCGUGAACCUUUACUAUAGCUUGACACUGAACAUUGAGCCUUGAUGUGUAGGAUAGGUGGGAGGCUUUGAAGUGUGGACGCCAGUCUGCAUGGAGCCGACCUUGAAAUACCACCCUUUAAUGUUUGAUGUUCUAACGUGGACCCGUAAUCCGGGUUGCGGACAGUGUCUGGUGGGUAGUUUGACUGGGGCGGUCUCCUCCUAAAGAGUAACGGAGGAGCACGAAGGUUGGCUAAUCCUGGUCGGACAUCAGGAGGUUAGUGCAAUGGCAUAAGCCAGCUUGACUGCGAGCGUGACGGCGCGAGCAGGUGCGAAAGCAGGUCAUAGUGAUCCGGUGGUUCUGAAUGGAAGGGCCAUCGCUCAACGGAUAAAAGGUACUCCGGGGAUAACAGGCUGAUACCGCCCAAGAGUUCAUAUCGACGGCGGUGUUUGGCACCUCGAUGUCGGCUCAUCACAUCCUGGGGCUGAAGUAGGUCCCAAGGGUAUGGCUGUUCGCCAUUUAAAGUGGUACGCGAGCUGGGUUUAGAACGUCGUGAGACAGUUCGGUCCCUAUCUGCCGUGGGCGCUGGAGAACUGAGGGGGGCUGCUCCUAGUACGAGAGGACCGGAGUGGACGCAUCACUGGUGUUCGGGUUGUCAUGCCAAUGGCACUGCCCGGUAGCUAAAUGCGGAAGAGAUAAGUGCUGAAAGCAUCUAAGCACGAAACUUGCCCCGAGAUGAGUUCUCCCUGAGACUUAGAGUCUCCUGAAGGAACGUUGAAGACGACGACGUUGAUAGGCCGGGUGUGUAAGCGCAGCGAUGCGUUGAGCUAACCGGUACUAAUGAACCGUGAGGCUUAACCUU